ACUCCUACGGGAGGCAGCAGUAGGGAAUCUUCCACAAUGGACGAAAGUCUGAUGGAGCAACGCCGCGUGAGUGAAGAAGGGUUUCGGCUCGUAAAACUCUGUUGUUAAAGAAGAACAUAUCUGAGAGUAACUGUUCAGGUAUUGACGGUAUUUAACCAGAAAGCCACGGCUAACUACGUGCCAGCAGCCGCGGUAAUACGUAGGUGGCAAGCGUUGUCCGGAUUUAUUGGGGCGUAAAGCGAGCGCAGGCGGUUUUAAGUUACUGAUGUGAAAGACCUUCGGCGUCAACCGAAGAAGUAGCAUCGGAAACUGGGAAACGUUAGAGUGCAGAAGAGGACAGUGGAACGUCCAUGUGUAGCGGUGAAAUGCGUAGAUAUAU
rnacentral:rRNA from 1 species